rnacentral:rRNA from 1 species
AUUGAACGCUGGCGGCAGGCCUAACACAUGCAAGUCGAGCGGAGCGGCGGACGGGUGAGUAAGGCCUAUGAAUCGGCCUGGUCGUGGGGGAGGGCGAUCGGAAACGGGCGCUAAUGCCGCAUACUAUCAGAUGAGCCUAGGCGGGAUUAGCUAGAUGGUGGGGUAAAGGCCUACCAAGGCGACGAUCCCUAGCUGGUCUGAGAGGAUGAUCAGUCACACUGGAACUGAGACACGGUCCAGACUCCUACGGGAGGCAGCAGUGGGGAAUAUUGGACAAUGGGCGAAAGCCUGAUACAGCCAUGCCGCGUGUGUGAAGAAGGUCUUCGGAUUGUAAAGCACUUUAAGUUGGGAGGCGUUACCAACAGAAUAAGCACCGGCUAACUCCGUGCCAGCCGCCGCGGUAAUUC